rnacentral:rRNA from 1 species
GUGGAGGAGCCUGCGUCCGAUUAGCUUGUUGGUGGGGUAAAGGCCUACCAAGGCGACGAUCGGUAGCUGGUCUGAGAGGAUGAUCAGCCACAUUGGGACUGAGACACGGCCCAAACUCCUACGGGAGGCAGCAGUGGGGAAUAUUGGACAAUGGGCGCAAGCCUGAUCCAGCAAUGCCGCGUGGAUGAAGAAGGUCUUCGGAUUGUAAAGUCCUUUCGGCGGGGACGAUGAUGACGGUACCCGCAGAAGAAGCCCCGGCUAACUUCGUGCCAGCAGCCGCGGUAAUU